AAAUCAUGUAUUUGGCAUUUUUUAAUUAAGUCCUUGAAUAGUUCCUAUGCUUCAUAUAGUUUUUCAUCCUCAAAUUGUCGAAAGGACAUGAUAUCAUUCCUCAAGUU
rfam:Gossypium arboreum cultivar AKA8401 contig_4032_9, whole genome shotgun sequence.